AGGACGAACGCUGGCGGCGUGCCUAACACAUGCAAGUCGAGCGGUAAGGCCUCUUCGGGGGUACACGAGCGGCGAACGGGUGAGUAACACGUGGGUGACCUGCCCUCAGCUCUGGGAUAAGCCUGGGAAACUGGGUCUAAUACUGGAUAUGACUGCGCAUCGCAUGGUGUGUGGUGGAAAGUUUUUUCGGCUGGGGAUGGGCCCGCGGCCUAUCAGCUUGUUGGUGGGGUGAUGGCCUACCAAGGCGACGACGGGUA
rnacentral:rRNA from 1 species